CAGGAAGGAGUGGACUCAUUCUCAUUGAGCAUGCUUAUAAGAUUGUAGAGUAAAAUAUGGAAUCUCCGAAUCUGACUGACUCUGUUGCUGUAGACCCCACUUAAUUGAAAUUAUGAUGCCUUAUCCACAAAAUGAGCAACAAUGGAUUGGAAUCCUGAAUUUGGAAAGUCUUUUGUAGUUACAAGUGUCAUCGCUGGUAUGAGUUAAAAUCGGGUGUGAAAACCAGAUAACUUUACUGAGUGAUUAGCUGAUUGGCACAAG